rnacentral:rRNA from 1 species
GGUACACGCUGUGACUAGCAUAUCAAUAAGCGGAGGAAAAGAAACUAACAAGGAUUCCCCUAGUAACGGCGAGUGAAGCGGGAAGAGCUCAAAUCUGAAAUCUUAAAGGGUUUCCCUUUACGAAUUGUAGUUUAAAGAAGUGUUUUCUGUUGAGGUUUUGGUAAAAGUUCUUUGGAAUAGGACAUCAUAGAGGGUGAGAAUCCCGUAUUUGACCUUUACUUUCAACUUUGUGAUACACUUUCAAAGAGUCGGAUUGUUUGGGAAUGCAGUCCAAAAUGGGUGGUAAAUUUCAUCUAAAGCUAAAUAUUGGCGAGAGACCGAUAGCGAACAAGUACCAGUGAGGGAAAGAUGAAAAGAACUUUGAAAAGAGAGUUAAACAGUACGUGAAAUUGUCAAAAGGGAAGCGUUUGACACCAGUGUUGUUUUUCUGAAAAUCAAUUAAAGAACUGUUUAUGCUAAGUUGUUUAGACUUUAUCAGCUAUCUGCUUAGUUUUGAGCUUUUCUUUAAUGCACUUUUCAGUUAACAAGUCAACAUCAAUUUCUUUUGCUGUAAAAAAGCUUGAGGAAGGUGGCUUGAGAUUCGUCUUAAGUGUUUAUAGCCUCUUGCCUAUGCAGUCGGAGAGAUUGAGGUCUGCAGCGUAGAUCCUUCGGGGCUAAAUGCAUUUGUGCUAAGUUAUAACAUUUUAUAGACAACUUGUUGACUAUGAUUUGUCUUGUAGCUUACUCGCUUAUGUUAUUUUACCUACGCUUAGGAUGUUGAAGUCAUCGUAUCGCGC